GACGAACGCUGGCGGCGUGCCUAAUACAUGCAAGUCGAACGCAGUGGGGACGGGUGAGUAACACGUGGGUAACCUCCCAUCAGAGGGGAUAACACUUGGAAACAGGUGCUAAACCGAUACUGAUGGAUGGACCCGCGGUGCAUUAGCUAGUUGGUGAGGUACCGGCUCACCAAGGCCACGAUGCAUAGCCGGCCUGAGAGGGGGAUCGGGCACAGUGAGACUGUGACACGGCGCAGAGUCCUAAGGUAGGCAGCAGGAGAGAAUCUUCGGCUAUGGACGAAAGUCUGACCGAGCAACGCCGCGUGAGUGAAGAAGGUUUUCGGAUCGUAAAACUCUGUUGUUAGAGAAGCGGUAUCUAACCAGAAAGCCGCGGCUAACUACGUGCCAGCAGCCGGGGUAAUAC
rnacentral:rRNA from 1 species